rnacentral:rRNA from 1 species
AGUGAACGCUGGCGGUAGGCCUAACACAUGCGAGUCGAACGGCAGCACAGUAAGAGCUUGCUCUUACGGGUGGCGAGUGGCGGACGGGUGAGGAAUACAUCGGAAUCUACUUUUUCGUGGGGGAUAACGUAGGGAAACUUACGCUAAUACCGCAUACGACCUACGGGUGAAAGCAGGGGAUCUUCGGACCUUGCGCGAUUGAAUGAGCCGAUGUCGGAUUAGCUAGUUGGCGGGGUAAAGGCCCACCAAGGCGACGAUCCGUAGCUGGUCUGAGAGGAUGAUCAGCCACACUGGAACUGAGCCACGGUCCAGACUCCUACGGGAGGCAGCAGUGGGGAAUAUUGGACAAUGGGCGCAAGCCUGAUCCAGCCAUACCGCGUGGGUGAAGAAGGCCUUCGGGUUGUAAAGCCCUUUUGUUGGGAAAGAAAAGCAGCAGGUUAAUACCCCGCUGUUCUGACGGUACCCAAAGAAUAAGCACCGGCUAACUUCGUG